UACGUAGGGGGCUAGCGUUGUCCGGAAUCAUUGGGCGUAAAGAGCGUGUAGGCGGCCCGGUAAGUCCGCUGUGAAAGUCGGGGGCCCAACCCUCGAAUGCCGGUGGAUACUGUCGGGCUAGAGUGCGGAAGAGGCGAGUGGAAUUCCUGGUGUAGCGGUGAAAUGCGCAGAUAUCAGGAGGAACACCAAUUGCGAAGGCAGCUCGCUGGGACGUAACUGACGCUGAGACGCGAAAGCGUGGGGAGCAAACAGG
rnacentral:rRNA from 1 species